GCGGCAGGCCUAACACAUGCAAGUCGAGCGGUAGCACAGAGAGCUUGCUCUCGGGUGACGAGCGGCGGACGGGUGAGUAAUGUCUGGGAAACUGCCUGAUGGAGGGGGAUAACUACUGGAAACGGUAGCUAAUACCGCAUAAUGUCGCAAGACCAAAGUGGGGGACCUUCGGGCCUCAUGCCAUCAGAUGUGCCCAGAUGGGAUUAGCUAGUAGGUGGGGUAACGGCUCACCUAGGCGACGAUCCCUAGCUGGUCUGAGAGGAUGACCAGCCACACUGGAACUGAGACACGGCCCAGACUCCUACGGGAGGCAGCAGUGGGGAAUAUUGCACAAUGGGCGCAAGCCUGAUGCAGCCAUGCCGCGUGUGUGAAGAAGGCCUUCGGGUUGUAAAGCACUUUCAGCGGGGAGGAAGGCGAUAAGGUUAAUAACCUUGUCGAUUGACGUUACCCGCAGAAGAAGCACCGGCUAACUCCGUGCCAGCAGCCGCGGUAAUACGGAGGGUGCAAGCGUUAAUCGGAAUUACUGGGCGUAAAGCGCACGCAGGCGGUCUGUCAAGUCGGAUGUGAAAUCCCCGGGCUCAACCUGGGAACUGCAUUCGAAACUGGCAGGCUAGAGUCUUGUAGAGGGGGGUAGAAUUCCAGGUGUAGCCGGUGAAAAUGCGUAGAGAUCUGGAGGAAUACCGGUGCGAAAGGCGGCCCCCUGGACAAAGACUGACGCUCAGGUGCGAAAGCGUGGGGAGCAAACAGGAUUAGAUACCCUGGUAGUCCACGCCGUAAACGAUGUCGAUUUGGAGGUUGUGCCCUUGAGGCGUGGCUUCCGGAGCUAACGCGUUAAAUCGACCGCCUGGGGAGUACGGCCGCAAGGUUAAAACUCAAAUGAAUUGACGGGGGCCCGCACAAGCGGUGGAGCAUGUGGUUUAAUUCGAUGCAACGCGAAGAACCUUACCUGGUCUUGACAUCCACAGAACUUCCCAGAGAUAGAUUGGUGCCUUCGGGAACUGUGAGACAGGUGCUGCAUGGCUGUCGUCAGCUCGUGUUGUGAAAUGUUGGGUUAAGUCCCGCAACGAGCGCAACCCUUAUCCUUUGUUGCCAGCGGUCCGGCCGGGAACUCAAAGGAGACUGCCAGUGAUAAACUGGAGGAAGGUGGGGAUGACGUCAAGUCAUCAUGGCCCUUACGACCAGGGCUACACACGUGCUACAAUGGCAUAUACAAAGAGAAGCGACCUCGCGAGAGCAAGCGGACCUCAUAAAGUAUGUCGUAGUCCGGAUUGGAGUCUGCAACUCGACUCCAUGAAGUCGGAAUCGCUAGUAAUCGUAGAUCAGAAUGCUACGGUGAAUACGUUCCCGGGCCUUGUACACACCGCCCGUCACACCAUGGGAGUGGGUUGCAAAAGAAGUAGGUAGCUUAACCUUCGGGAGGGCGCUUACCACUUUGUGAUUCAUGACUGGGGUGAA
rnacentral:rRNA from 1 species